UAAAAGCAACACGGGGCCGAGCGGCCGCGGGUCAAGGCGGCGGCGCCACGUGACGGCCCCCCAGCCAAUGGCUCCCCUCGGCGCCCCUGACAGAUGCGGCCGUCGGCGGCCUGGCCUCCUUUCGCAGCUCAUAUAAGGUAAAAAGAAAAAGGUUUUUCCAGAUCCUGAGCGGCAUGGAAGGAGUUUUCGCCGAGGACUCCCAUGCCAGCUGCUUAAAAACCCCCGGCUGGCGCCGCCGGGGUCCCAGCGGCGGGUUAUAUGGGCAGGAGACGAGGCGGCGGCGUGGCCCUGGCACCCGGCAGGCUUGGCCGUGGGAGCAAUGGGGACAUCGUCGCUGGAGGCAGCCAGGAGCACACGAGGGCCGUACAGCCCCAGAAACGUGGCCAGCGGCGAGAGACGGGCAGAGCCUGCGUGCCAGCACAUGCCUUUCCCUGUGCACCGGCAGCCGGCUGCAGCACCCAUCACCCAGCUGCCGAAAGGAUGGCCGGGCCCUUCCCAGGAGAUGCCCAAGCCGAGCCAUCCCCGCCGGGGCCACGUCGGCAAGCCCAUCACUGCCGGCUCUGCUCGCGCCGAGGGGCCGGCUGCGAGGGACAGGGCUUCACUCUGCAAAUUUGGGGCGGCUGGGGGGCAGAGCAGCUCCUGCAGGCUGCCAUGCCCCACUGGCGUCCCUUUGCUCCCGUUCCCUGUAGCUUGUUUCCACACUUGGCCGGGGCUCGCGGCUGGCUGGCCCAGCCAGGUCUGGCGUGGGAGGCAAACCCGCGCCGGCGAAGGCUUUUCCCAAACCGCAGCCCAGGGUGACUCACGCCGCGACUGGGCACGGCUGUCUGCACCUUGCCGAGCCAGCCCAGCCCUCCGGAGACGCUGGCCGAAGGCUGCUCUGGAGAAGGGGCUCUGGCCCAGCCAGGGCCGUGUCCAUGGGGCCAAGGCAUGACGCACGCGUAGGGCAGCACCUAGCAGGCUGCCGCUGCUCUAGCGAGUGCUGUGGGUGGUGGCUGGCCAGAGCUGUUUCCUUACAAGCUGCCCUGGAGUUUGGGGCACCAGCGGGCUCCUUUUCCCUCCUUCUCUUUCCUCCCAAGCGAUGGGGUCCAGGCAGAGAGGCCUGAGAGCCCUGGCACGGAUGCGUGUCGGGGCCAUUUCUGUCCCUGGCGUCCCAGCUGGGCUUGCGCGGCUCCCAGGCAGCCCGGGGGGGCAGGCAGCGUGCCGGAUGGAGGGACUCCAGCCCGGAGACAUGCCAUCUGCUUCUCGUCAGGUUGUUAGGAGCGCCGAGGCUGCCGGGGCCCGACAGCAGGACGUUGUUAUGAUAGAUGGUCUGUUUAUCACGUUUCGGCUCUGCUCAGGAUGUUAGUGCUUGCCUGCAAAAGCCAUUUCUGGGCUCAGUCUCUCCCUCCCUCCUCCACCUCCCUCCUGCUCCCCCCGGGCCCGCUCCCGUGGUGCUGCCGGGGCUGCAGUCCCCAGGGCCGCAGUGCGGGGGUCGGGGGCAUCCUUCCCGCAGCACCUGAGCCGGGAAGGGCUCAGCUCAGCCCUGCCGCCCCGGGGAGCGGAUCUGGCUGGCGUCGGAGCUGUGGGAGCCCUUGCUGGGCCCGAAGCCUUCCCACAGGUGGUGUCCAGCUGCGGGCUCUCCCCUGCACCAGCCCAGGCUCAGCGGGGACCAGGGAGAGACCUCAGGGGCUUUCCAGCGACUCUUAACCCCCUGGAGCCUGAGCUGGAGGGAUGCGGUGCUGGGAGCAGCUGCCCGGCCAAGGGAAGGAGCGGAGGGGAAGGAGCGAUGAUGCACUGCUCAAGACCCGUGUCUCCCACCCUGUGGAGGCAUCCUGGCCCUGCUGCACGUGACUCCUGUGUCCCAGGGCCAUCCCAGCACCUUGGGACCUCCACGGUUCGGGAUCCCGCUGGCACUCAGGCUGAGGCCCGAGUCUCCUGGCCUUGGGAAACACCAGCUGCCAGUGUGCCCUGGGCCAGGCCUUCUCCCAGCACAGGGAGGUUUCUCCUGGACAACACUGCAGCCCUGCUCUGCCCCGUGCUGCUGGUGGGGUCCUGGCUUCUGCAGCCCUCGGGCAGCCCCGCUCUCCAUUAAACCAGAGCCUAUGCUAUCCUGCAAGGGAAGGGCGAAGCCAAGGAGGGUGCCCAGGCUGUGUCCUGGCUUUCCUCUCUGCCCAUCCUGCUCCCCAUCCCACUUUCUCACCCAUCUCUCUUGCAGACCCUCUCUUUCUUGCCUAGUUCUGCCCAGGCCCUGGGCUCUGUGCUGGGAUACCUCUAUUCAGGGACAGAAACCCGUGGGCUCUGUCCCUGCAGAGCUGCUGGCCAGGCUGAGCCGUGGCGCCCAGGUCUGCUCUGUCCCGGGGAUGGUGCCAUGCAGCUUUCCUGGCCCAGUCUGUGCCUGCCUCCACUGCGGAGGACGCGAGCACGCUGCUCCUGGGAGGGGACCUCUCGCCUGCACCCCAGCAGGGCAGCCAGACCCACAGCCAUGCCAUGUAAACCCAUCCCUAAGCACAGCCUAGGGCAUACACACCGCAGCCCUGCUCCUCAGUGCCCAGAUGCAGGCACGCGAGGGGCGAGAUGCCACCAGCCAGAGGUCCUCUGAGUCUGGCCGGCCAUCCCUGCUGAGGGGAAGUCAACCCGGGGUUGGUGAAGCCAACCAAUGUCUGCAUGCCCCUCUGUCAGCCCUCGCCCAGCGCCCCGGGCCACCACGUGCUGCCGGCCGCAGCGAAGAGGUGAGAGCGGCCGUGCGCUCUUCCAUGUCUCCCAGCCCAAGGUGCAGUGCUGCAUCUCUGGUCAAUUGGGAGUCUGAGAUGAAGCACUGUAGCUCGGGAAGGGAGGAACUCUGCGCCGUGGGGCAGCCCUGCCAGGAGACCCACGAGCCGUGGGGUGCCACACCGUGUCAUGCCUCACAAGGGAGACAGUUGCAAGCAAAGCACGUGGGGCUGGGCAGCAAGACUGGAAACCAAUGCGGCAGCACGCACUCAUGGAGGCCAGGGCUCAGGAGCAUUUCUUAGGGCAUCAGUUAGCCAGGAGGGCCUUUGCUAGGGGUCUGCCCCCUUCCUCCUGCCAGUCUCUAGACCUAUGUCCCCCCCACAGUGGCAGAGCAGGGCUCUCCCAGCCCCGCUCAUGCUUUGGACCCCCCCCCCCCCGCAAUCUCAGGGUGGGUGGGGGGAUGACAGAGCACUGAGGAAGUAGCCUGAAGACUACCAGCAGGUCUCCAGGGCAUCCUACUGCAGGCUCUUGGGAGCCAAGGUUACCGAGCCCCGGCUAUGGGGCAGGGAUCGCCCCAUAGCUUCGUGUCGCACAGAGGGGAAGAGGAGGGAUUAGCAGGGAGGUGCAGGGUGGGAGGAGGUUCCUCCUUGUGACAGAGGCCUCCUUGUCAGCUCAGGUCUCACCACGAGAGGUGGGGGGAGGAUCCCCACCAGGUGCUGGGCACCAGCAGGAGGGAGGUGCACAGGAGCGUGGGAGCCUUGUGUGGCGGGGUGCUCCGUGGGGACAGCAGGGACGAGACAGCAGCACCCCCAGCAGCCACACACAGAGCCAGCUGGAGGACAGAAUGCUCUGGGACUGGAGCUGGUGGAGAGCCAAGGUCGCCGUGCCCUCAGGGUCCAGUUUUCCCAGGAAUCCCUUAGGCACUAUGUUGGGGAUUCCUGGAAAUACUGUUCUUGGGGCCACGGCUCGGCAGCCGGAGACAGUCUGUCCCUCAAGGGGAGCCAGAGCCUUCAGAAGAGUCGCAGACCAAGGUACGGCACCAUUUCUGGGCAUUUCUGGGGGCUGUCAGUGGGAGGUGGGAGCCCGCAGACCUUCAGGUACCCCAAAUAUGGGGAGCUGCACAACCUGACCCAGAGAGCUCCAGCUCCCCAGGCCUGGGGAUGACAGAUAUCCCCCUGGGCCACAGCUCAUCACGGGAGGACACCGCUGGCAAGCAGAUGGCCUUUUGCUCCUCUUCUGCCCUUUGCUGCCCUCCAAGAGGAGCAGCUCUCCCCCAGGGCCCUGUCUAUGUCACUUAGCCACCAUUGUGUCAAUAAAGGUCUAGACUCAGGA